UUAACCAAAACAGUUGGUGGCAAACACCUUUGUUAAAAGGAAGGGUGUUCCUUGAUUCAAGGCCGGUGUCUUAAUCAUCAUUCAUGAUUAUGCAUAAUUGAAUAAUCAUUCAAUCAUACCAGACAACUCUCUCUCACUCUCUCUGUCUCACGUCCGAAAACCAUCCAAGAAACAGAGCAAUCUUCAUCAACUCAUCUCUCCCUCCACCGACCACCAAUCAAGACCAGACCAGUUCCUAUAGUUCCACCUCGUUCUUGCGCAGCUACCAGUGGCAACCUUGCACCGCAACACGGCCGGCAGUGGCGGCGGAGGACACGGUUCCGUUUUGAGCUCGAUUUGGUUCUAUCUCGAUAUCUUGAGCUACAGGCCGCCAAUUCUCUUGAUUCUUGUCUCAUUGGAUUCGCCUCAACUUUCUGAACAAGCACCAAGAAGGACCAGACCUGGGAAGAACGAUUUCACGUUCAUCGGAGCUCGACUGGUUUAGAUCGACAAACAACCCUUCGAUCCGUGUAUCUCGAGUUACAGACCACCUCUUUAUGUGAUUCUUGGCUUAGUGAGUUCUUCUUGAAGUUCUGAACAACUCUCCAGAAGGAAUCGAAGCGUUUCGUUGAAGUUUUUACGUCGAAACUCAAGCUCGCCGGAUUCUGGAAUUUUUCCGACCACCGAAGCUUUCGAUCGGUAUAUCUCGAGCUACAGACCAUAUUUUUCUGUGAUUCUUGAACCAAUGAGUUCACCUUGAGUUUCUUAACAACUCUCUAGAAGGGAUCGAAGCCUGAAAUUGAAGUUUUGACGUCGAAAUCAAGCCUUGCCGGAUUCUGCAAAUUUCGCCGGAUUCUGGAAAUUUUCCGGCCACCUCGAUUGUUUUAGGUGAUUGACGGUCUCCCUUGGGUGAGCGAUUUCGGUGUGUAUUGUGUUAAAUUGAAGACGCAGCGGGAAUAUCGAGCGGGUAAUCCUGCAGGUCAGGAGAAUCAGGACGGUGAUCGUGCGGGUUAGAGAAUUUGUUUUAGUUUUACAGCAAUUGUAAUUGUGAGGUGAGUUAUGCUCAUUUGAGCCUUACAAUAUAAUUUGGUGAGAGUGUGCUGUAAUAAACAAAUUUGAGAUUUGGUUUAUGUAAUAUCGAGCGAUGUGAGGUGUGGUUGUUUUGAGAAAAAAUUCAGGUUGUAUUUAUGUGAGUUGUAUUAAUUCAUGUUUCGGAUUUGGAUUUGUUAUUCAAAAUCCGGGGCGUGACAGUUUGGUAUCAGAGCGUAAGGUACAUAUUUGGUGAUAAUCAGUACUCCCCGAGUGAUGGCCCGUCUGCAGCGGAUCCCCAUCGUAUACUCUUCGGUACUGGUAUAAUCAUUGGGUAUGUCUUAGUAUGGGGUCUAGACAGCGUGUAUGUCAGUAGGACGGUAGAGUUGUCUUCUAAGUUCGUAUUAGAAUAAGUUUAGUUUCCGCAGGUUGUAAUCUUUGAGGAAUGGAAACCUCCGGAUUUAACUCUGAUGAGUCAGUGAGGAUUGUUUAUGGAAAUGAGUUUCCUUUUGUAUGUAGAAGUGUUUGGUUGAAGGC